GCAGGGAAGCCCCCAGGGCUGUCCCCGGGAAACGUCCCUCCCUGUUGAGGCGCACGCUCCGCGCUGUGCACAGGCUGUUCCGCUGGCCCCGCAGGCCGGCACAGCCGCACCAUUAGGCCCCGCUCCAGCGCCAGGCCCGGCCCAGACAGCGCAGGGUGGGCAGCGCUUUGCCGGGACCGACAUCUCCCGCAGACCAGCACAGCACGGAACAGCACAGGCGCCACAACGAGGCCAAGAAGUGACCACAGACUGGAGGGGGAUCGAGAGCCCCAGAGACCCCCAGACCUCAGACCUGUUUCCAGAAAGGUCUGAAAGAACAGCCUGUGCAUGGGAACUCAUUGGCACAGAAGACAGAAAGCCGCCUUCUGCAGGGAACCCUGUCCCUGCAAAGGUACCCCCAGCAAGCCCAGCAGCCUGGACAUCCCUCCAGCUGCAUCCACGCUGGACACCGGACUGACCCCUUGGACAGGAUGGCGGCGUCACCCAUUCUCAGAGGAAGUGUAUGGCCAGUCCUCGUGAGUGAAGAUUUGGGAAAGGUCUUCACCCUUCGAGCCUGCGCAAUGGAUUUUUAAGCUUUGCCCCAGGUUCCCGCAGACCGAGGGCACCACUCAGUCACCCCUGGCCCUUCAGUGCACUUGCAGAACUCACAGGGAAGGCCAGAGCUGCCACCAAGGAGGGAAGCAGAGCCCCGUGGCUGUGGGAAGGACUGACCCUUGGCAGGCUGACAACAUGGAAGGACCCUCCCCAGCUGGGCAAGCUUUGUGCAGCCGUGCUUUCUGUUGCACUCGGGGCAGCUCUUUCCCAUCCUGUCCAGAGCAAGACAAUGCCAUGACCCACAUGGGAGUGCAGAGCGCGUUGGGACUGUCAGGACAGUCAUCCACGACCACAUCAGCCUGACAUUCCCUGAUGAUGGCAACGGGAUGAACUUGGAGCAGCUGCACAAAAUACUAAGGCACUGUGCAACCUCUCUGGAGUGCCCAUUAGUGGAGAGAAAGAGAAUUCAUAUGGUUGUGACUGUCUUUACUUUCAGUUGGCAACCAAGGGAAGAGACAGACUCGGCUCCAAUCCUUUGGAGUAUUGAUAAGAGUAGGUAUUGUGGGAAAUGAUCCUGUGCCUUUUCUGUUUCUCCUGCCAUAGUCGGUAGGGUUUGGACUGAUCUCUCUUUUAUUUCUCCAGGUAGCAGAGAGGUUUCUUUCCCUUUAGUAAAGAAGAUAGUGUACAGACCCCCUUAUUAGAGAAGAUAGUAUAGUGUACCCCUUAGUAGAGAAGAUUGCUCUGCCUGCAGCUGUACCCAU